CAAGAAAUAGUUUAAUUAAGAAUUUCAGCUUUGGGUGCUGAUGGUGGGACUAGGGUCCCUUUCUUGA
rnacentral:tRNA from 1 species